rnacentral:rRNA from 1 species
AAGCCGCGGUAAUACGAAGGGGGCUAGCGUUGUUCGGAAUUACUGGGCGUAAAGCGCACGUAGGCGGACAUUUAAGUCAGGGGUGAAAUCCUGGAGCUCAACUCCAGAACUGCCUUCGAAACUGGGAGUCUUGAGUUCGGGAGAGGUGAGUGGAACUGCGAGUGUAGAGGUGAAAUUCGUAGAUAUUCGCAAGAACACCAGUGGCGAAGGCGGCUCACUGGCCCGAUACUGACGCUGAGGUGCGAAAGCGUGGGGAGCAAAC